CCUACGGGAGGCAGCAGUGAGGAAUAUUGGUCAAUGGACGGAAGUCUGAACCAGCCAUGCCGCGUGCAGGAAGACGGCUCUAUGAGUUGUAAACUGUUUUUGUACAAGGGUAAACCUGAAUACGUGUAUUCAGCUGAAAGUACUGUACGAAUAAGGAUCGGCUAACUCCGUGCCAGCCGCCGCGGUACUACGGAGGAUCCAAGCGUUAUCCGGAUUUAUUGGGUUUAAAGGGUGCGUAGGCGGAUUGAUAAGUCAGAGGUGAAAUGUCCGAGCUUAACUCGGGAACUGCCUCUAAUACUGUUGGUCUAGAGAGUAGAUGCGGUAGGCGGAAUGUAUGGUGUAGCGGUGAAAUGCUUAGAGAUCAUACAGAACACCGAUUGCGAAGGCAGCUUACCAAUCUAUAUCUGACGUUGAGGCACGAAAGCGUGGGGAGCAAACAGGAUUAGAUACCCCGGUAGUC
rnacentral:rRNA from 1 species